CCCACACUCUCCCCUAGACAAGUAAUCCAAUAUAUGUUAAAUAUGUACAAUUCUUCUAUACAUAUUUCCACAAAUAUUAUGCUGCACAAGAAAAAUCAGAUCAAAAAGGGGGGAAAAUGAGAAAGACAACAAAAUACAAGCAAACAACUAAAAAAGUUCAAAAUACUAUGUUGUGAUCCACACUCAUUUCCCAUAAUUCUGUGUGUAGAUGUCUCUCUUCAUCACAAGACCAUCAGAACUGGUCUGAAUCAUCUCAUUGUUGAAGAGAGCCCCGUUCCUCAGAAUUGAUAAUUGAUAUUAGUGUCCCAGUUUUCCGACAUCCCUCCUACAUCAUCUUUUUCUGUCAUCUUAUUGGCAAGUCACUUAAACAAAAUUGCCUCCAAAAAAGAAAAAAAUGAGGACUGGUUGUGAAGUGAAUUAAGGAGAACAUACUAAAAAUGAUGACCAAUGUAAAUAAAAUAAAAAUUAUUAAAGGGAAUUUCAACUUUUGAGUAAUGGAAAAUGAUAUUGGAGAAGUUACUACGCUUAUAUCCUCCCUCAUGACAUUAAAGUAGGGUUUGCUAGGAUGGAAUAUUAUAUACAUUGUCAGAUGAAGUUACUGUAACCAAUAUUUUUGCUGAACUGGUUUUCUUUGUCACAAGGGAGGGUGAGGUUGAAGGCAGUAUGGGAAACAGCUGACAUGUAAAGAUAAUAUGUAUCAAUAUCAAUGUAUUUUAAAAAUAAAAAUACAUGAAAAUGCUGGACUAGAUAACUUUUAAGGUCCUUUCUCACUCAAUCAACAAAUAUUUACUGGGCUUUUACUAAGCUAGACACAGUUAGGGGCUGUCUGCUUUCACAAAUACUUUUAUUUUAUUUUAUUUUUCAGUCUUCAAGGAGCUCACCUUCUCUCCCCCCCCCUUUUUUUUUAUUAGUAAGCUUUUUAUUUACAAGAUAUAUGCAUAGGUAAUUUACAAGAUAUAUGCAUAGGUAAUUUACAAGAUAUAUGCAUAGGUAAUUUACAAGAUAUAUGCAUAGGUAAUUUUUUUGCAUUGACAGUUGCAAAUCCUUUUGUUCCAACUUUUCCCCUCCUUCCCCCCCCCCCUUCCCCCAGAUGGCAGGUUGACCAAUACAUCACAUAUAUAUAUAUAUAUAUUUUUAUUAUAGUAACUUUUUAUUGACAGAAUCCAUGCCAGGGUAAUUUUUUACAUUAUCCCUUGCACUCACUUCUGUUCCGAUUUCCCCUCCCACCUUCCACCCCCUCCCCUAGAUGGCAAGCAGUCCUAUAUAUGUUGAAUAUGUCGUAGUAUAUCCUAGAUACAAUGUAUGCAUCACAUAUACUUUUUUUUUUUUAUUUAAUAGCCUUUUAUUUACAGGUUAUAUGCAUGGGUAACUUUACAGCAUUAACAAUUGCCAAACCUCUUGUUCCAAUUUUUCACCUCUUACCCCCACCCCCUCCCCAGAUGGCAGGAUGACAGUAGAUGUUAAAUAUAUUAAAAUAUAAAUUAGAUACACAAUAAUUAUACAUGAUCAAAACGUUAUUUUGCUGUACAAAAAGAAUCAGACUCUGAAAUAUUGUACAAUUAGCUUGUGAAGGAAAUCAAAAAUGCAGGCAUCACAUAUACUUUUAAUGUUUCCCCCCAUCCCCCAGUGCAACUCUUUGUGAUCCCAAAUGGAGUUUUCUUGGCAGAGAUACUGGAGUAGUUGCCAUUUCCUUUUCACAGAUCAGGAAAUUGAGGCAAACAGGGUGAGAUGACUUGCCCUGGAUUACACAGCUAGUGAAUGUCUGAGGCUGGAUUUGAACUCAGGAAGAUGAGUAUUCCGGACUCCAGACUCAGUGCUUUCUCCACUGUGCCACUUAUCUUAUAUCACUAGGGAUAUAAUUAAUAACAACAUAAUAGAGUAAUAUGCUAUAAUUUUAGAAAUUCACAACAAAUAGGAGGAUAUUCAUCCUCCCCAAAUUUGCACAGUUUAGGAGAAAGCAGGCACUGUGUUAAAUGCGGAGGAUAAAAAAAAAAACAAAAAGCCGAUUCCUGCUUCCAAAGCUCAUCGUGUGAUAAUGGAGAUAACAGCUAAGUACACUGUGUGCAAAGGAGAUAGAAAAGAUAAAUUGGAGAAAGAAGCAGGAAAUUAAACGUUAAGUAGAAAAGACCAGUGAAGUCUACUGCCAUCCCCUUCAGUCCACCAUACCACCAUCCUUCCAGACUUGUCAAGAUUCAAGAAGAGAAUCAGCGGUCACGCAUGACCUUUUCUUUUUAAUCCCCACAUCCAAGAUGGGUUCGUUCUCCGUGCACAUCUUGUAGGUCCUUUCCCUCUCCCACUCACCGCCCUAGUUCCGAGGCUUAGCAUAAUCUCCCGCCAGGGGUUCUGCCUUUAUUCUUUCUCCUUUUCCCAAGCCCGUGGCCGAAAGAAUGGAUGGGGUCCCUCCUGGAUCUGACAAAACACCCAGGUCUCCUUAGGGUCGAUCCGGAAGCCCGGGGGCGCUUCCUGAAAGAGAUGCCCGGGAUGCGGAUGCCGGAGGUACCGGCGGGCGGGGAGGGGUCCCUCUUACGUCUGGCUGGAUCUCCAGCGCCGCAGGGAAAACCUUAGGGGGGAGGGGCGAUAGGUUCCCGCAAGGGUAAGGAAACAGCUCCGCGACAAGCCCGGAGGGGGGCGCUCGUUUUCGGAGCUCCCGUCGGGCCUCGGACACGUAGCGGGGCGACCCUGGGCUCGUCGCUUCGCCCCGUUUGCCUCCGUUUCCUUAUCUGAAAAGAGAGGAGGAAGCGCCCACCAGGACUCUGCCGGGCACCGACAGGGUCACGGAAGAUCGGACCAAACGCGGAACAAGGGAUGGGGGAGGCAGGAAAAGCCGGCCUCUCCGGAGGCAGGGGAGGCCCCAAAGUCACACCCAAAGGGCAGCGUCGCGCUCCAACGGUCGGUCCAGGUGAGCAAGGGCCAGCAUCCUGCCCCAACC
ensembl:lncRNA